rnacentral:rRNA from 1 species
AUGGCGGCGGCGGUGCAGAACGAGGUGGUGGCGCGGCAGGGGCGCGAGGACGGCGUCGACGAGGAGCGGCCACUCCUGGCGAGGCCGCCGGCCGUCCGCGACGACCCAGCUGGCGACGGGCUGAGCCCGAUGCAGAGGGCAAUCAGCCAGACGUACCAGAGCACGGCGCACCUGGCGACGCUGCUGCCCACGGGCACCGUCAUGGCGUUCCAGCUGCUGUCCCCGAUCGUCACGGACCAGGGCCACUGCGUCCGCGCCAACCGCGCCAUGGCGGCCGCGCUCGUCGCGCUCUGCGCGCUCUCCUGCUUCGCGCUCAGCUUCACCGACAGCUUCCGGGACGCCAAGGGCGCCGUGCGCUACGGCUUUGCCACGCGCCGCGGGCUCUGGGUCAUCGACGGCGGCGCGCCGCUCGACCCGCAGGCCGCGGCAGCCUACAGGCUGCGCUUCCUCGACCUCGUGCACGCCGUCGUCACCGUCAUGGUCUUCGUGGCCGUCGCGCUCUUGGACCGCAACGUCGUGUCCUGCUUCUACCCCGUGCCGUCCGAGGACGCCGCGCAGGUGCUCACCGUGCUGCCCAUCGCCAUUGGGGUGGUCGGGAGCAUGCUCUUCGUCACCUUCCCCACCACACGCCACGGCAUCGGCUUCCCGCUCUCGCAGCAUUGA